rnacentral:pre_miRNA from 1 species
AAGUAGGAUCAAAUUUUCAAUUUGGCACUGGCACAAUUUUGCCAACUUUAAAAUAUGUUUUUAAGCAUCUCCCCCUUGGGCUUUAAAAAAUGUUAAACAAA